NNNNNNNNNNNNGGAGAUUAAGGAAAGACAAAUCAUAUUACAAUGAUUACACAAACUUCAUGGAUGACAUCAUCUCAAGAGGAGAUGCUGAAAGAGUCCCUGACAAAGAGUUGAAUAACACUCCUGCAUGGUAUAUCCCACAUCAUGGGGUUUAUCACCCACACAAACCCGGAAGAAUCAGAGUAGUAUUUGAUGCCUCGGCCAAGUACCAGGAUACUUCUCUCAAUGACCACCUCUUAACCGGUCCUGACCUGACAAACGCAUUGGUUGGUGUUCUUUGUCGUUUCCGCAGAAGUUCUGUCGCAUUCAUGUGUGAUAUAGAGCGGAUGUUUCACCAGUUCCAUGUCACAAAAGAAGACCAGGAUUACUUAAGGUUUCUUUGGUGGGAGAAGGGAGAUUUGGAAGCAUCACCAUCAGUUUACCGUAUGAAGGUCCAUCUUUUUGGAGCAGCGUCUUCUCCAGGCUGUGCCAACUUUGGCCUGAAACACCUUGCUGCCCAAGGACAAGGUCAAUUCAAAGAAAACACCAUACACUUUAUACAGAGAAACUUUUAUGUUGAUGACGGUUUGGCAAGCGUUCCUACUGAAAGGGAAGCCAUUCAGCUCAUCAAAGACUCAAGAGAGCUCUGUUCCAAAGGAAAGUUAAGACUCCACAAAUUUGUGUGCAACAGUGAGAGAGUUAUGUCCACUAUUCCAGAAGAAGAGUGUGCCACAGUGAAAGACCUUGACCUUUCUUUAAGUUUACCACGCAUUGAAAGAGCUCUUGGAGUUGAAUGGUGCGUCACUUCAGACACAUUCAAAUUCAGAGUUCAAGUCAAGUUGAACCCCCUUACAAGAAGAGGUUUACUUUCUACUGUCGCCUCCAUUUACGAUCCCCUGGGGUUUAUUGCACCGUUCGUCCUCUUGGGAAAGCAGAUUCUUCAGCAAAUGUGCAAGGAUAAGGUUGGGUGGGACCACGAGCUUCCAGAGCACUUAAAACCCCAGUGGGAAUCCUGGAUUAAAGACCUUCCAAGUUUAGCUAACAUGCAGAUUCAAAGAUGCUUCAUUCCUACAGAUUUCGGUCAGGUUAAA
ensembl:lncRNA